UACGUAGGGCGCAAGCGUUGUCCGGAAUUAUUGGGCGUAAAGAGCUCGUAGGCGGUCUGUCGCGUCUGCCGUGAAAACCCGAGGCUUAACCUCGGGCUGGCGGUGGAUACGGGCAGACUAGAGGUAGGUAGGGGAGAAUGGAAUUCCCGGUGUAGCGGUGAAAUGCGCAGAUAUCGGGAGGAACACCGGUGGCGAAGGCGCCACUCUGGGCCGGUACUGACGCUGAGGAGCGAAAGCGUGGGUAGCAAACAGG
rnacentral:rRNA from 1 species